rnacentral:rRNA from 1 species
CUCUAGCAUUACCAUUAUUAGAGGCACUGCCUGCCCAGUGACAUAUGUUCAACGGCCGCGGUAUCCUGACCGUGCAAAGGUAGCAUAAUCAUUUGUUCCCUAAAUAGGGACUUGUAUGAAUGGCUUAACGAGGGUUUAACUGUCUCUUACUUUUAAUCAGUGAAAUUGACCUUUCCGUGAAGAGGCGGAAAUAAUUAAAUAAGACGAGAAGACCCUAUGGAGCUUAAAUUUAUUAACCUAAGCAUCCUAACAAUUUAUUCUCCGGAAUACAAAACCCUGCCCCCAGGUUAUAAAUUUUGGUUGGGGUGACCUCGGAGCAAAAAACAACCUCCGAAUGAUCUUAAUCUAGACUUGACCUGUCUAAAUUCUAUUCAUUAAUUGAUCCAAACUUAUUGAUCAACGGAACAAGUUACCCUAGGGAUAACAGCGCAAUUCUACUCAAGAGUUCAUAUCGACAGUAGAGUUUACGACCUCGAUGUUGGAUCAGGACAUCCAAAUGGUGUAACCGCUAUUAAUGGUUCGUUUGUUCAACGAUUAAAG